rnacentral:rRNA from 1 species
UACGUAGGUGGCAAGCGUUGUCCGGAUUUACUGGGCGUAAAGAGCGCGCAGGCGGUUGUUCAAGUCGGGUGUGAAAGCCCCCGGUUCAACUGGGGAGGGUCACGCGAUACUGAUCGACUCGAAGGCAGGAGAGGGUAGUGGAAUUCCCGGUGUAGUGGUGAAAUGCGUAGAUAUCGGGAGGAACACCAGUGGCGAAGGCGACUACCUGGCCUGUUCUUGACGCUGAGGCGCGAAAGCUAGGGGAGCAAACGGG